UCCAGGCAGGAGUGGGGAAUCCAGGCAGGAGUGGGGAAUCCAGGCAGGAGUGGGGUUCCCGGACAGCUGGCUGCGUGAAGGCAGGAGAAAAACAAGGUCAGAAUUAAGCAGAAACUCAAACAGAAAACGUCAAAGGCAAGAGAGCAAACCGAACUGCAUGGUUUCAGGUUCAAUACUCUGGCAGGGAGUGGAAGGCUGAGCCGGUACUUAUUGUAGAGGUGAGUCGUUAGUGAGAUGAUAGUCAGCUGUCUGGGAGCCGUGGAGGUAGUUGAUUGCCUGAGUGGAGUCAGCUGAGAAGCUAGACUCCACUCAGGCACCGAGCUGCGGGAGGAGAGUCAGGGCAGAGAAGCGGAUGGGAGACAACUAGACAGACAGACAGGGCAGAGGAACGGAACUGUGACAAUCAAAAAAAAUUCUGCAUGGGAUAUAAUUACAAACAACGUUAAUGCCAUUUCAAUUGAAAGGCGCACCACUGCAGAAGUUAAGAAAAAGUGGUUUGAUCUAAAAUCAGACUCAAAAAAGAAAAUUGCAGAACACCAGAGGGAUGUCCAGGAAACUGGUGGAGGUGGGCCAUCAACUCGUGCUGACGUUUCAGAGGUGGAUGAAAGAAUAGUAGCAUCAUCAGGGAAACUGCUGUCAGUGGAGUCCCAGGCACGCAGGCUCUGGAUACAGAUGUCGACUUCUCCUUCAUCAUAUCUGAAUCUGAGGACGAACUGGUCGAACAAACAGGCCAGCACCCCACCACAAGCAAAAACUCUGACCCAGGCUCCGUCCUAUGCACGUGCGUCUUUGCGUCACUCCAGGGUCAUCUCAGACACUGUAUUAGAAAAUCAAGAGCGUAUUGCAAACUCACUUGCUCAAAUUGCAUCAACUCUUAAAAAUAUUUCAGCUACACUUCGACAGAUACACACAGUCAUAAUGGAAAAAUAAAUGCUAAAACAAU